rnacentral:lncRNA from 1 species
GACAGUAGCAGCAGCAGGGUGCUGCCGGGCGGGCGGUGUCUCCCAGGCGGCCUUGCCCGGAUGUGCUACCCUGACUCAUAGUCGCGCCGCACGCAGGCUCCGCGCUGCUGCCGUGCUCUCCCGUCCCGCUUCGCGCACACGCCUCCCGCGCCUCCCUCCGCGCCAGCGGGGAGGCGGUGGCUGCAGCAGCGGCAGGAGGGGAAGGAGGAGGAGGCCGCGGCGGCACCAUGGCUUUAGGUUAAAGGC